ACAGUGGACGCGAGCAUCUGUGGCCAAGUUUUUAAGGGCGCACGGUGGAUGCCUUGGCACCAGGAACCGAUGAAGGACGUGGGAGGCCACGAUAGUCCCCGGGGAGUCGUCAACCAGGCUUUGAUCCGGGGGUUUCCGAAUGGGGAAACCCGGCAGUCGUCAUGGGCUGUCACCCGCUGCUGAACACAUAGGCAGUGUGGAGGGAACGCGGGGAAGUGAAACAUCUCAGUACCCGCAGGAAGAGAAAACAACCGUGAUUCCGGGAGUAGUGGCGAGCGAAACCGGAUGAGGCCAAACCGUAUGCGUGUGAGACCCGGCAGGGGUUGCGUGUGCGGGGUUGUGGGAUCUCUCUUUUACGGUCUGCCGGCCGUGAGACGAGUCAGAAACCGUUGAUGUAGGCGAAGGACAUGCGAAAGGUCCGGCGUAGAGGGUAAGACCCCCGUAGUCGAAACAUCAGCGGCUCGUUUGAGAGACACCCAAGUAGCACGGGGCCCGAGAAAUCCCGUGUGAAUCUGGCGGGACCACCCGCUAAGCCUAAAUAUUCCCUGGUGACCGAUAGCGGAUAGUACCGUGAGGGAAUGGUGAAAAGUACCGCGGGAGCGGAGUGAAAUAGUACCUGAAACCGUGUGCCUACAAGCCGUGGGAGCGUCGGAGCAAGGCUUGCCUUGUUCUCGUGACUGCGUGCCUUUUGAAGAAUGAGCCUGCGAGUUUGCGGUGUGUUGCGAGGUUAACCCGGGUGGGGUAGCCGUAGCGAAAGCGAGUCCGAACAGGGCGUUUGAGUAGCACGCUCAAGACCCGAAGCGGAGUGAUCUAGCCAUGGGCAGGUUGAAGCGGCUGUAAGAGGUCGUGGAGGACCGAACCCACCAGGGUUGAAAACCUGGGGGA
rnacentral:rRNA from 1 species